rnacentral:rRNA from 1 species
GACGAACGCUGGCGGCGUGCCUAAUACAUGCAAGUAGGACGCAGUUGCGAACGGGUGAGUAACGCGUAGGUAACUACCUAUUAGAGGGGGAUAACUAUUGGAAACGAUAGCUAAUACCGCAUACUAGUAGAUGGACCUGCGUUGUAUUAGCUAGUAGGUAGGGUAAAGGCCUACCUAGGCAACGAUACAUAGCCGACCUGAGAGGGUGAUGGGCAAAAGUGUGACUUAGACACGGCCCAGACUCCAUCGGGAGGGAGGGGUAGGGAAGCUUAGGAAAAAGGGGGAAGCCAGAACGAGCAACGCCGCGUGAGGGAAGAAGGGUUUCGGGUCGUAAAGCUGUGUUGUUAAGGAAGCGGUACUUAACCGGAAAGGGAAAGCUAACUACGUGCCAGCAGCCACGGUAAUAC